rnacentral:rRNA from 1 species
AAGGUUAACUGCCUGGAGAUGAGCUCGCGUCUGAUUAGCUAGUUGGUGGUGUAAGGGACUACCAAGGCGACGAUCAGUAGCUGGUCUGAGAGGAUGAUCAGCCACACUGGAACUGAGACACGGUCCAGACUCCUACGGGAGGCAGCAGUGGGGAAUUUUCCGCAAUGGGCGAAAGCCUGACGGAGCAAUACCGCGUGAGGGAGGAAGGCUCUUGGGUUGUAAACCUCUUUUCUCAGGGAAUAAGCAAGUGAAGGUACCUGAGGAAUCAGCAUCGGCUAACUCCGUGCCAGCAGCCGCGGUAAUACGGAGGAUGCAAGCGUUAUCCGGAAUGAUUGGGCGUAAAGCGUCCGUAGGUAGCAGUGUGUGUCUAUUGUUAAAGAGUUUGGCUUAACCAAAUAAGGGCGGUAGAAACUACACAGCUAGAGUGCGUUCGGGGCAGAGGGAAUUCCUGGUGUAGCGGUGAAAUGCGUAGAGAUCAGGAAGAACACCGGUGGCGAAAGCGCUCUGCUAGGCCGCAACUGACACUGAGGGACGAAAGCUAGGGGAGCGAAAGGGAUUAGAUACCCCCGUUAAUCAAA